UACGUAGGGACCAAGCGUUGUUCGGAUUUACUGGGCGUAAAGGGCGCGUAGGCGGCGUGUUAAGUCAGCUGUGAAAUCUCCGAGCUUAACUCGGAACGGUCAGCUGAUACUGAUGUGCUAGAGUGCAGAAGGGGCAAUCGGAAUUCUUGGUGUAGCGGUGAAAUGCGUAGAUAUCUGGAGGAACACCGGUGGCGAAGGCGGCAUCCUGGACCAACACUGACACUGAGGAGCGAAAGCCAGGGGAGCAAACGGG
rnacentral:rRNA from 1 species